rnacentral:rRNA from 1 species
UACGAAGGGGCUAGCGUUGCUCGGAAUCACUGGGCGUAAAGGGUGCGUAGGCGGGUCUUUAAGUCAGGGGUGAAAUCCUGGAGCUCAACUCCAGAACUGCCUUUGAUACUGAAGAUCUUGAGUUCGGGAGAGGUGAGUGGAACUGCGAGUGUAGAGGUGAAAUUCGUAGAUAUUCGCAAGAACACCAGUGGCGAAGGCGGCUCACUGGCCCGAAACUGACGCUGAGGCACGAAAGCGUGGGGAGCAAACAGG